rnacentral:pre_miRNA from 1 species
AGUGGAAUUGCUGGGUCAUAUGGUAGUUCUGUUUUCAGUUUUUUGAAGAACCACCACACUGUUUUCCACAGUUGCUGUACCAUUUUGCAUUUCCACCAGCAAU